UACGUAGGGGGCGAGCGUUGUCCGGAAUGACUGGGCGUAAAGGGCGCGUAGGCGGUUUUAUAAGUUAGGAGUGAAAGUCCAGCUUUCAAGGGUGGAAUAGCUUUUAAUACUGUAGGACUUGAGUGCAGAAGAGGUAAGCGGAAUUCCCAGUGUAGCGGUGAAAUGCGUAGAGAUUGGGAAGAACACCAGUGGCGAAGGCGGCUUACUGGGCUGUAACUGACGCUGAGGCGCGAAAGCGUGGGGAGCGAAC
rnacentral:rRNA from 1 species